rnacentral:rRNA from 1 species
GAUCUGGCUCAGAUUGAACGCUGGCGGCAGGCCUAACACAUGCAAGUCGAACGGUAACAGGAAACAGCUUGCUGUUCGCUGACGAGUGGCGGACGGGUGAGUAAUGUCUGGGAAACUGCCUGAUGGAGGGGGAUAACGUACUGGAAACGGUAGCUAAUACCGCAUAACGUCGCAAGACCAAAGAGGGGGACCCUCGGGCCUCUUGCCAUCGGAUGUGCCCAGAUGGGAUUAGCUUGUUGGUGGGUAACGGCUCACCUAGGCGACGAUCCCUAGCUGGUCUGAGAGGAUGACCAGCCACACUGGAACUGAGACACGGUCCAGACUCCUACGGGAGGCAGCAGUGGGGAAUAUUGCACAAUGGGCGCAAGCCUGAUGCAGCCAUGCCGCGUGUAUGAAGAAGGCCUUCGGGUUGUAAAGUACUUUCAGCGGGGAGGAAGGGAGUAAAGUUAAUACCUUUGCUCAUUGACGUUACCCGCAGAAGAAGCACCGGCUAACUCCGUG